CCUACGGGAGGCAGCAGUGGGGAAUAUUGCACAAUGGGCGCAAGCCUGAUGCAGCCAUGCCGCGUGUGUGAAGAAGGCCUUCGGGUUGUAAAGCACUUUCAGCGGGGAGGAAGGCGGUGAGGUUAAUAACCUCAUCGAUUGACGUUACCCGCAGAAGAAGCACCGGCUAACUCCGUGCCAGCAGCCGCGGUAAUACGGAGGGUGCAAGCGUUAAUCGGAAUUACUGGGCGUAAAGCGCACGCAGGCGGUCUGUCAAGUCGGAUGUGAAAUCCCCGGGCUCAACCUGGGAACUGCAUUCGAAACUGGCAGGCUAGAGUCUUGUAGAAGGGGGUAGAAUUCCAGGUGUAGCGGUGAAAUGCGUAGAGAUCUGGAGGAAUACCGGUGGCGAAGGCGGCCCCCUGGACAAAGACUGACGCUCAGGUGCGAAAGCGUGGGGAGCAAACAGGAUUAGAUACCCGGGUAGUC
rnacentral:rRNA from 1 species